UACGUAAGGUGCGAGCGUUAAUCGGAAUUACUGGGCGUAAAGCGUGCGCAGGCGGUUUUGUAAGCCGGAUGUGAAAUCCCCGGGCUUAACCUGGGAAUGGCAUUUGGGACUGCAAGGCUUGAGUGCGGCAGAGGAGACUGGAAUUCCUGGUGUAGCAGUGAAAUGCGUAGAUAUCAGGAGGAACACCGAUGGCGAAGGCAGGCCUCUGGGCUGACACUGACGCUCAGGCACGAAAGCGUGGGGAGCAAACAGG
rnacentral:rRNA from 1 species